rnacentral:rRNA from 1 species
UACGUAGGGGGCGAGCGUUGUCCGGAUUCAUUGGGCGUAAAGAGCUCGUAGGCGGCUUGGCAAGUCGGGUGUGAAAACUUCAGGCUCAACCUGGAGCGGCCACUCGAUACUGCCAUGGCUUGAGUCCGGUAGGGGACCACGGAAUUCCUGGUGUAGCGGUGAAAUGCGCAGAUAUCAGGAGGAACACCGGUGGCGAAGGCGGUGAUCUGGGCCGGUACUGACGCUGAGGAGCGAAAGCGUGGGGAGCGAACAGG